CUCAAAGAUUAAGCCAUGCAUGUCUAAGUCCAAGCUGUGUUCACACGGCGAGACCGCGGACGGCUCAUUAAAUCAGUCGUGGUCCAAAUGGGCCAGUGCAAAUCCUACUUGGAUAACUGUGGUAAUUCCAGAGCUAAUACAUGCAACUGAUAUCCCGAAGGCGGUGUUUGGGCUUGCUUGCCUUGCGCUGCGCUGCUCUGACGGAUGCUUUUAUUAGACCAAGCCGCUGAGGACUUGAGGGUUCGCGCUCUCUUGUCUGACUCGUGUGAUGGUGACUCUGGAUAACCAAAUUCUGACAAGCGCACGUACUUCUCUUCUGAGCGAGACGGCGCUGCCACUUUCGAGUGUCUGCCUUAUCAGCUAUCAACCGUUCGUUAUGCGCGACCGAUGGCUUUGACGGGUAACGGGGAAUCAGGGUUCGAUUCCGGAGAGGCAGCCUGAGAGACGGCUACCACGUCCAAGGACGGCAGCAGGCACGCAAAUUACCCAAUCCCAGCAAAUGGGGGAGGUAGUGACGAAAUCUAACGAUGCGGGCGCCCUUUCUGGGGCCCCGCAAUCGGAAUGGGCACUUUCUAAACAACCUGUUGAGAACCUACUGAA
rnacentral:rRNA from 1 species